UUACGGUCACAUCACGAUGAUAACAUCGGUUCCUGUACGAUCAAACGAAGUUAAGCAACGUUGAGCCUGGUCAGUACCUAAAUGAGCAUCCCUUCGAGAAUAUCAGGUGCUGUAAG